GAUGAAGAACGCAGCGAAAUGCGAUACGUAGUGUGAAUUGCAGAAUUCAGUGAAUCAUCGAAUCUUUAAACGCACAUUGCACCUCUCGGUAUUCCGGGAGGUAUGCCUGUUCGAGCGUCAUUUGUACCCUCAAGCUCUGCUUGGUGUUGGGUGUUUGUUCCGCCUCUGUGUGUGAACUCGCCUCAAAACAAUUGGCAGCCGGCGUACUUGUUUCGGAGCGCAGCACAUUUUGCGAUCCAGAUCAACGUACAGCGGCAUCCAAGAAGCCUUAUUUAACGCUCUUGACCUCGGAUCAGGUAGGGAUACCCGCUGAACUUAAGCAUAUCAAUAAGCGGAGGA
rnacentral:misc_RNA from 1 species